UUCGGUGGUCAUAGCGUAGGGGAAACGCCCGGUUACAUUCCGAACCCGGAAGCUAAGCCUUACAGCGCCGAUGGUACUGCAGGGGGGACCCUGUGGGAG
rnacentral:rRNA from 1 species